UUAGGGAAUGUUAUCAGAGCUUUCCUGUGGGGCCAAUGUGCAAAGCUGCCAGAUGCAUUCCAGCACUGAGCUGCAGCAAGCAAAAUGACGGCAGCACUGCUGGGUUGGGCUGGUCCCAGCCCUGAGGGGAAUGGAGCAAGUCUGAAAGAAAAAGCUACUCUGAAGCAUCAUCACCUCUGUCCUAGGAACAACAGGUGCCUUAUUCCUAUUUAAAUCAAUGAAAGCCUUUAGAAACCUGGCCCCAGGUGACGUGAGUAUUGUGUGCUCUGCCUGCUCUCUGCCUUCAAGCACACCAGCAGUCAGUCGGUAUACCAACUGCUACAAGGAGCCACAAAACAUCACGGCACUGAGUCACCAUUAAAACAAGAGCAAUGUGUCAAACCUCAUCAAACACCUGAUGAAGAAUGAAUGCCUCAGUUAUUAACAUCACCUCUGAAAGCACCUCCUUCUUCUGGAUGUCCUAUCCAUACAGAUCAGUGCUGCUGAAGUGCUCCACAGAGUAAUAAAUGUCUAGUAUUAAAUAUAAUCC